GCUGGCGGCGUGCCUAAUACAUGCAAGUCGAGCGGCAACGAGUUUUGCACCUAGUCUUCUGACCUACGGGUAGAAGACUGAGUGCAGAAUGUCGGCGAGCGGCGGACGGCAGAGUAACACGUAGGAACGUACCCCAAACUGAGGGAUAACUGCUCGAAAGAGUAGCUAAUACCGCAUGUGAUCUUCGGAUUAAAGCUUCGGCGGUUUGGGAACGGCCUGCGUAUGAUUAGCUAGUUGGUGAGGUAAUGGCUCACCAAGGCGACGAUCAUUAGCUGGUCUGAGAGGAUGAUCAGCCUGACUGGAACUGAGACACGGUCCAGACUCCUACGGGAGGCAGCAGUAGGGAAUUUUCCACAAUGGACGAAAGUCUGAUGGAGCAACGCCGCGUGCAGGAUGAAGGCUCUAGGGUCAUAAACUGCUUUUAUUUGUGACGAUUAUGACAGUAGCAAAUGAAUAAGGGUCGGCUAACUACGUGCCAGCAGCCGCGGUCAUACGUAGGACCCAAGCGUUAUCCGGAAUUACUGGGCGUAAAGAGUUGCGUAGGUGGCAAGUUAAGUGGGUAGUGAAAUCGUGUGGCUCAACCAUACAGACAUUAUCUAAACUGGCUAGCUUGAGUGAGAUAGAGGUAACUGGAAUUCCAAGUGUAGGAGUGAAAUCCGUAGAUAUUUGGAGGAACACCGAUGGCGUAGGCAGGUUACUGGAUCUCAACUGACACUGAGGCACGAAAGCGUGGGGAGCAAACGGGAUUAGAUACCCCCGGUAGUCCACGCCCUAAACUAUGGAUGCUAGCUGUGAGGAGUAUCGA
rnacentral:rRNA from 1 species